CGAAGGCGGGCGGCGUGCUUUAUACAUGCAAGUUGACCGCUGAAGGGUUGGUCCUGUUACCGACUGCUUGAGCAGCGAACGGGUGAGUAACGCGUGGGGAAUCUUCCUUUGAGCGGGGGACAACAUUUGGAAACGAAUGCUAUUACCGCAUAAAAACUUUAAACACAAGUUUUAAGUUUGAAAGAUGCAAUUGCAUCACUCAAAGAUGAUCCCGCGUUGUAUUAGCUAGUUGGUGAGGUAAAGGCUCACCAAGGCGAUGAUACAUAGCCGACCUGAGAGGGUGAUCGGCCACAUUGGGACUGAGACACGGCCCAAACUCCUACGGGAGGCAGCAGUAGGGAAUCUUCGGCAAUGGACGAAAGUCUGACCGAGCAACGCCGCGUGAGUGAAGAAGGUUUUCGGAUCGUAAAACUCUGUUGGUAGAGAAGAACGUUGGUGAGAGUGGAAAGCUCAUCAAGUGACGGUAACUACCCAGAAAGGGACGGCUAACUACGUGCCAGCAGCCGCGGUAAUACGUAGGUCCCGAGCGUUGUCCGGAUUUAUUGGGCGUAAAGCGAGCGCAGGUGGUUUAUUAAGUCUGGUGUAAAAGGCAGUGGCUCAACCAUUGUAUGCAUUGGAAACUGGUAGACUUGAGUGCAGGAGAGGAGAGUGGAAUUCCAUGUGUAGCGGUGAAAUGCGUAGAUAUAUGGAGGAACACCGGUGGCGAAAGCGGCUCUCUGGCCUGUAACUGACACUGAGGCUCGAAAGCGUGGGGAGCAAACAGGAUUAGAUACCCUGGUAGUCCACGCCGUAAACGAUAAGUGCUAGAUGUAGGGAGCUAUAAGUUCUCUGUAUCGCAGCUAACGCAAUAAUCACUCCGCCU
rnacentral:rRNA from 1 species